GGUCCACAAAACAUUCUCCUUUCCUUCUGAAGGUUUUACAAUGCAUUGUUAUCAGUAACCAGUCUUUUACUAUUAAACUUAAAAAGAUCUGAAGAGGACAC